rnacentral:tRNA from 1 species
GGAGGGUUGGCAGAAUGGCUAUUGCACUGGUCUUGAAAACCAGCGCCCGAAAGGGCUUGGGGGUUCGAGUCCCUCACCCUCCGCCA